rnacentral:rRNA from 1 species
AAAAACAUGUCCGUAUGAAAAAGUAUAAGGUCUAACCUGCCCAUUGAGUAAUUGAAAGGCCGCGGUAAUUUGACUGUGCAAAGGUAGCAUAAUCAUUAGUUUCUUAAUUAGGAACUUGUAUGAAGGGUUGGAUGAAAAGUAAUCUGUCUUAUUUAUAUAAAUUGAAUUUAAUUUUUAAGUGAAAAGGCUUAAAUAUAGGAAAGGGACGAUAAGACCCUAUAAAACUUUAUAUAAAUAAUAAUAUAUUUUAGAGUUAUAAGUUUAGUAAGUUAUAGUAUUAUUAAUAUUUUAUUGGGGCGAUAGAAAUAUAGUAAACUGUUUUUAAAUUAAUCAAAUAUUGUUGAUUUGAAUGAUCCUUAUAUAGAGAUUAAAAGGAUAAGUUACUUUAGGGAUAACAGCGUAAUCUUUUUUGAGAGUUCAUAUCAAUAAAAGGGAUUGCGACCUCGAUGUUGAAUUAAAAUUUCUUUAUGGUGCAGUAGUUAUAAAAGAAGGUCUGUUCGACCUUUAAAUUUUUACAUGAUUUGAGUUCAAACCGGUGUG